rnacentral:rRNA from 1 species
GUAACACUGAAUGGAGGACCGAACCGACUUACGUUGAAAAGUGAGCGGAUGAACUGAGGGUAGCGGAGAAAUUCCAAUCGAACUUGGAGAUAGCUGGUUCUCUCCGAAAUAGCUUUAGGGCUAGCCUCAAGUGAUGAUUAUUGGGGGUAGAGCACUGUUUGGACGAGGGGCCCCUCUCGGGUUACCGAAUUCAGACAAACUCCGAAUGCCAAUUAAUUUAACUUGGGAGUCAGAACAUGGGUGAUAAGGUCCGUGUUCGAAAGGGAAACAGCCCAGACCACCAGCUAAGGUCCCAAAAUAUAUGUUAAGUGGAAAAGGAUGUGGCGUUGCCCAGACAACUAGGAUGUUGGCUUAGAAGCAGCCAUCAUUUAAAGAGUGCGUAAUAGCUCACUAGUCGAGUGACACUGCGCCGAAAAUGUAACGGGGCUAAACAUAUUACCGAAGCUGUGGAUUGUCCUUUGGACAAUGGUAGGAGAGCGUUCUAAGGGCGUCGAAGCAUGAUCGCAAGGACAUGUGGAGCACUUAGAAGUGAGAAUGCCGGUGUGAGUAG